UACGAAGGGGGCUAGCGUUGUUCGGAAUUACUGGGCGUAAAGCGCGCGUAGGCGGUGAUCUUUGUCAGAGGUGAAAGCCCGGGGCUCAACUCCGGAAUUGCCUUUGAAACGGGAUCGCUAGAGUCCGAGAGAGGAUGGCGGAAUUCCUAGUGUAGAGGUGAAAUUCGUAGAUAUUAGGAAGAACACCGGUGGCGAAGGCGGCUAUCUGGACGGUUUCUGACACUAAGACUCGAAAGCGUGGGGAGCAAACAGG
rnacentral:rRNA from 1 species